rnacentral:rRNA from 1 species
UGCUUCUCUGAUGUUAGCGGCGGACGGGUGAGUAACACGUGGAUAACCUACCUAUAAGACUGGGAUAACUUCGGGAAACCGGAGCUAAUACCGGAUAAUAUUUUGAACCGCAUGGUUCAAAAGUGAAAGACGGUCUUGCUGUCACUUAUAGAUGGAUCCGCGCUGCAUUAGCUAGUUGGUAAGGUAACGGCUUACCAAGGCAACGAUGCAUAGCCGACCUGAGAGGGUGAUCGGCCACACUGGAACUGAGACACGGUCCAGACUCCUACGGGAGGCAGCAGUAGGGAAUCUUCCGCAAUGGGCGAAAGCCUGACGGAGCAACGCCGCGUGAGUGAUGAAGGUCUUCGGAUCGUAAAACUCUGUUAUUAGGGAAGAACAUAUGUGUAAGUAACUGUGCACAUCUUGACGGUACCUAAUCAGAAAGCCACGGCUAACUACGUGCCAGCAGCCGCGGUAAUACGUAGGUGGCAAGCGUUAUCCGGAAUUAUUGGGCGUAAAGCGCGCGUAGGCGGUUUUUAAGUCUGAUGUGAAAGCCCACGGCUCAACCGUGGAGGGUCAUUGGAAACUGGAAAACUUGAGUGCAGAAGAGGAAAGUGGAAUUCCAUGUGUACGGUGAAAUGCGCAGAGAUAUGGAGGAACACCAGUGGCGAAGGCGACUUUCUGGUCUGUAACUGACGCUGAUGUGCGAAAGCGUGGGGAUCAAACAGGAUUAGAUACCCUGGUAGUCCACGCCGUAAACGAUGAGUGCUAAGUGUUAGGGGGUUUCCGCCC